GGUGGUGGUCAUGACUCAUGGGGUUGUGUACUAUUUAGAGAGUGAGUGGGAGAGAGAAGAAAAAUCUUUGCUUGGCUUGACUUGGCUUGGCUUGAGAGUGUUUGAGAUAAAGGGCAUGUGAGAAAGAGCAAAAAGCUCUCAACUUCACUGCCAACUCUUGUCCUGAACCCCAUAAAACACAGUGAGGGGGCAGUGAGGCAAUUGAUGGUUCUUCUGAUCUUUGCAUCUGCAACCAUAUUAUAAAGAAGGCGGUGGUUUGGCUUUUGUAGUAAGUUGACUGCCAUUGUGUUUGAAGUGAGAAACUUGUCUUCAGAGAGAGUAACCAAAGAAGAGAGUUUAUCCUUUCAUGGGAAUAUGAGAAAGAAACAUACUGAGCCACCACCCAUGUCAAGUUGGUAGGUACUGCUUGUGUGUGUGGUUGAGAAAGAAACUUUACUUGUAAUAGGAGUGAGAAAGAUGGCUAGUGGAGAAUAGAGAGAGAGAGAGAGAAAGACAGAGAGAGACACUCAACUGACAACAAAAAUUGGAUUUUUUAGGGAUAGGCUAGUUUGUUGUGGAACAAAGUAGCAAUCUUUUCACUCAUGGAUGGUUACGAAGCUACGAGGAUAGUGUUUUCAAGGAUCCAAAACUUGGACCCUGAAAAUGCUUCAAAAAUCAUGGGUCUGCUUCUGAUUCAAGACCAUGGUGAGAAGGAAAUGAUUAGGUUAGCAUUUGGACCAGAAGCCCUAGUUCACUCUGUGAUUGUGAAAGCUCGCAAGGACUUGGGAUUACCCUCUAACUCGCCGCCAACACCCUCAACUCCUCCUUCUCCGUCUCCUUUCCUUUCAAGACAAAAUUCCAUUUCUUCAAGGCUUAGUGGUAUUAACCUUCCUCCUGCUCUCACUAUCCCAAACCCUUCUUCUAGUUCAGCUUCUUGGGCUACUAUGUCUGAGCUUCAAAACCCUGAAGAUUUGAUGAGCCCUAACAAUUUGGUUGUUGGUUCUUCAACUUCAUCUUCCUUGCCCUUCUAUGCUAACGGAGGAGGCUCAGAUCCAAUUGAUGAAUUCCAACUUCAAGACCAGCUUUCUUUCUUGAAUGAUGGUUCUCCUACUCUUGGCCACAAGAACCUUGAUUUGUUUUACCCUCACUCUGACUUGUCUUCUAGUCCUACUACUGGUGCUGCUGACCCUUCUCUCUUUCCUUCUUAUGGUUGGGGAGGGUCUCUUCACCGCAGGAGUUGCUCUGUCAAUGAUGCUUGUUUGGGUUCUGAGGACCCUAAUUCUGGGCUUGGAUGGAAGCCUUGCCUUUACUUUGCUAGAGGGUACUGUAAGAAUGGCACUAGUUGCAGGUUCCUUCAUGGAGGAGGACUUGGAGAUGCUGCUGAUGGUGCUGCAAUGGUUGGGUCUCCUAGCAAACUUGAGAUGAUGGAUCAGUGCCAUGAACUCUUCAGAUCUAAAUCUGUUCAACAACAAAGAUUAGCUGCAGCUUCUCAGCUCAUGGCAUCUUCCUCUUUUCCAUACUCCCCAAAGUGCAUGAAUUUCCUGUUACAGCAGCAGCAAAAUGAUACUCAAAGAGCGGCAGCUGCAGCUCUGAUGAUGAAUGAGGAUUUGCACAAAUUUGGAAGAUCCAGGCUUGAAAGAAAUGAUUUUUCUUUGAACAGUCCUGGAAUGAUUAACCCAGCUUCUAGGCAGAUCUACUUGACCUUCCCAGCAGAUAGCACUUUCAGAGAGGAAGAUGUUUCAAAUUACUUCAGCAUUUAUGGUCCUGUUCAAGACGUGAGGAUCCCAUACCAGCAGAAGCGUAUGUUUGGGUUUGUUACAUUUGUUUAUCCGGAGACUGUGAAGCUCAUUCUAUCUAAAGGGAACCCUCAUUUCGUGUGUGAUGCUAGAGUGCUUGUUAAGCCUUACAAGGAGAAGGGCAAAGUCCCAGACAAGUACAGGAAGCAGCAGCAGCAGGUAGAUAGGGGAGAUUUUUCACCUUGUGGUACUCCACCAGGACUAGAUGCUAGAGACCAAUACGAUCUUCAACUUGGAGGAAGAAUGUUCUACAAUACUCAAGACAUGCUGUGGAGGAGGAAGUUGGAAGAGCAAGCUGAUUUGCAGCAAGCCCUCGAGCUCCAAAGUAGGAGGUUGAUGGGUCUGCAACUUCUUGAUAUCAAAAAGCAACACCAGCGUGCACUUUCAACUGGAAGUCCAAUUCCUUCCCCCACCCACUCUCCAAAUAUGUUCAACCAAAAUCUUGUUCUUCCUUCGUUUCACACCAGCUCAGAGGCCCCAGAGGAGAGUGGUUCAAGUUCUGGUCCAACUAGUACUGCAUCAGUUUCUGUUGGUCAGCAGCCAGUCAACAUUUCAGUUGGCAAGGAAGUGAUGGUCAAAGAAGAGAAUGGAUAUAGCGAAGGAAAUGGCAAGCAGAGUUCCAGUCAUGAAGACCGUGAUUUGCAAGAAUGUUUGGAGCAUAAUCUCCCUGAUAGCCCUUUUGCUUCCCCCACUAAAGCUGCUGCUGGAGAAUACAUGUCUUCCUUCUCAAGUGGACCUAAUGAGGUCACUGAUUCAGAUGCAUCAGCUGCAUCUGCCAACUCUAAAUUUGGUACUAAUAAUACAUUACUUCCAACAGCAUCAUCUCUAGACAUGGGGUCUUUCAAAUCCUUUAACUGCCAAAUACCAAGGUUCUCUUCUGGCCAUGGAACUAUUGGGAUGUUCGCAGGCACCGGUGGACCAAUUGGUAUUUAGUUUCCUGAGGUUCAGGAAGUGAAGAUGGACCAUACAAACCUGUAGAGAAUCACCACCACCACCACCACUAAGAAGGCCAUCACCAUCAAUCAUAAUACUAUACUACUUACUACCAUACAAAAUGCAUACGUAAAAAGCAGUUCAGUAAAGGAAGUGGGGCAGGCAUUGCAUUCCCUUUCUUUUGUUAGCAUUAUUGUACCAUUUUCUUAUUCUCAUAUCUGUAGUAGCUGAACCACAGGUAAAAAAUAACACAGAAAGAAUCAGAGUCAACGUGUAGUAGGGAACUCCUGGCACUCUGGAGCAUUACCCAGAGAAAGAGCAUUUGCACAGAUGGAAGUGGUAAAACAGUAAAUGCAGAGAGUUGUAUAACUACAAGGCUGAUGAUUCAAAUCCCCCACAUAAUGGUUAAUUUAAGUUUGAAAGGCCAGGAGUGAGGAGAGGAGGGGAAUAUGCAUAAUUGUUAAUCUUAGCUUGGGUUAAAGUUGAAAGUUGAGAUUUUUACCUUGGGAUGUUUAUGUUGCAGUUAAGUUUGUACUUGUACUACUACACAGUUAUCAACCCUCCCUUAUAUUGCCAGACAGAAAAGAGAAAGAUUUAGAAAGAAGAAUCAAAAGUUGAGUUUUUUAGGCUAAUUGGUCUUUACUAUUUGCCUCUCCCCCUUAUGUGCUUUUUGAUUUUAAUGGAGAAUUUGUCUCUUUGUUCCUGCAAUAAUUUUUUCCCUUUCAAUUUUGUAAAUUGGUGGGGUUUGUCUAUUUUUUGCCAUUAUUAAGGCACACCAUCACAUGGGGUAGCUGACACUGCAAGUGGGCCAUACACAUUUAUAUAAUGCCAGCUUGUGUAUGGGUCCUACCCACCAGUACCUACCCAUGUGAGUGAUGCCACUUUCUCUUUCAUUGAUAUAUAUCAACCCUACUACCCUUUAGCUUCUCUUUCAUGAUAGGAAAGGACAUUGCUCAGAUCUAAAAGUAGGAGUAGAUGCCCACACGUAUGACAAAAGUAGCCAGUUACUGGAAUCUUUUGGGUUCUGUGGUCUUAUGAAUGUGUAUGUGUGUGUGUGUCAGAG